AGCAGAAGCAGGGCGGUUCUCCCA
rnacentral:miRNA from 1 species